CGGACGGGUGAGUAAUGCCUAGGAAAUUGCCCUGAUGUGGGGGAUAACCAUUGGAAACGAUGGCUAAUACCGCAUGAUGCCUACGGGCCAAAGAGGGGGACCUUCGGGCCUCUCGCGUCAGGAUAUGCCUAGGUGGGAUUAGCUAGUUGGUGAGGUAAGGGCUCACCAAGGCGACGAUCCCUAGCUGGUCUGAGAGGAUGAUCAGCCACACUGGAACUGAGACACGGUCCAGACUCCUACGGGAGGCAGCAGUGGGGAAUAUUGCACAAUGGGCGCAAGCCUGAUGCAGCCAUGCCGCGUGUGUGAAGAAGGCCUUCGGGUUGUAAAGCACUUUCAGUCGUGAGGAAGGUAGUGUAGUUAAUAGCUGCAUUAUUUGACGUUAGCGACAGAAGAAGCACCGGCUAACUCCGUGCCAGCAGCCGCGGUAAUACGGAGGGUGCGAGCGUUAAUCGGAAUUACUGGGCGUAAAGCGCAUGCAGGUGGUUUGUUAAGUCAGAUGUGAAAGCCCGGGGCUCAACCUCGGAAUUGCAUUUGAAACUGGCAGACUAGAGUACUGUAGAGGGGGGUAGAAUUUCAGGUGUAGCGGUGAAAUGCGUAGAGAUCUGAAGGAAUACCGGUGGCGAAGGCGGCCCCCUGGACAGAUACUGACACUCAGAUGCGAAAGCGUGGGGAGCAAACAGGAUUAGAUACCCUGGUAGUCCACGCCGUAAACGAUGUCUACUUGGAGGUUGUGGCCUUGAGCCGUGGCUUUCGGAGCUAACGCGUUAAGUAGACCGCCUGGGGAGUACGGUCGCAAGAUUAAAACUCAAAUGAAUUGACGGGGGGCCCGCACAAGCGGUGGAGCAUGUGGUUUAAUUCGAUGCAACGCGAAGAACCUUACCUACUCUUGACAUCCAGAGAACUUUCCAGAGAUGGAUUGGUGCCUUCGGGAACUCUGAGACAGGUGCUGCAUGGCUGUCGUCAGCUCGUGUUGUGAAAUGUUGGGUUAAGUCCCGCAACGAGCGCAACCCUUAUCCUUGUUUGCCAGCGAGUAAUGUCGGGAACUCCAGGGAGACUGCCGGUGAUAAACCGGAGGAAGGUGGGGACGACGUCAAGUCAUCAUGGCCCUUACGAGUAGGGCUACACACGUGCUACAAUGGCGCAUACAGAGGGCGGCCAACUUGCGAAAGUGAGCGAAUCCCAAAAAGUGCGUCGUAGUCCGGAUUGGAGUCUGCAACUCGACUCCAUGAAGUCGGAAUCGCUAGUAAUCGUGGAUCAGAAUGCCACGGUGAAUACGUUCCCGGGCCUUGUACACACCGCCCGUCACACCAUGGGAGUGGGCUGCAAAAGAAGUAGGUAGUUUAAC
rnacentral:rRNA from 1 species